rnacentral:rRNA from 1 species
CUACGGGCGGCACCAGUGAGGAAUAUUGCACAAUGGGGGGAACCCUGAUGCAGCAACGCCGCGUGGAGGAUGACGCAUUUCGGCGUGUAAACUCCUUUUAUAUGUCAAGAAAAUGACGGUAGCAUAUGAAUAAGCACCGGCUAACUCCGUGCCAGCAGCCGCGGUAAUACGGAGGGUGCAAGCGUUAUUCGGAAUCACUGGGCGUAAAGGACGCGUAGGCGGGAUAUCAAGUCAGGUGUGAAAUCCUACAGCUUAACUGUAGAACUGCACUUGAAACUGGUAACCUAGAGUAUGGGAGGGGGAGAUGGAAUUAGUGGUGUAGGGGUAAAAUCCGUAGAUAUCACUAGGAAUACCUAAAGCGAAGGCGAUCUCCUGGAACAUUACUGACGCUAAGGCGUGAAAGCGUGGGGAGCAAACAGGAUUAGAUACCCUAGUAGUC